rnacentral:rRNA from 1 species
CACGUAGGGGGCGAGCGUUGUCCGGAUUUAUUGGGCGUAAAGAGCUCGUAGGCGGCUCAGUAAGUCAGGUGUGAAAACUCCAGGCUCAACCUGGAGACGCCACUUGAUACUGCUGCGGCUAGAGUCCGGUAGGGGAGCAUGGAAUUCCUGGUGUAGCGGUGAAAUGCGCAGAUAUCAGGAGGAACACCAGUGGCGAAGGCGGUGCUCUGGGCCGGAACUGACGCUGAGGAGCGAAAGCGUGGGGAGCAAACGGG